rnacentral:rRNA from 1 species
GACGAACGCUGGCGGCGUGCUUAACACAUGCAAGUCGAACGAAGAGCGAUGGAAGCUUGCUUCUAUCAAUCUUAGUGGCGAACGGGUGAGUCACGCGUAAUCAACCUGCCCUUCAGAGGGGGACAACAGUUGGAAACGACUGCUAAUACCGCAUACGAUCUAAUCUCGGCAUCGAGGAUAGAUGAAAGGUGGCCUCUACAUGUAUGCUAUCACUGAAGGAGGGGAUUGCGUCGGAUUAGCUAGUUGGAGGGGUAACGGCCCACCAAGGCGAUGCUCAGUAGCCGGUCUGAGAGGAUGGACGGCCACAUUGGGACUGAGACACGGCCCAGACUCCUACGGGAGGCAGCAGUGGGGAAUCUUCCGCAAUGGACGGAAGGCUGACGGAGCAACGCCGCGUGAGUGAUGACGGCCGUCGGGUUGUAAAGCUCUGUUAAUCGGGACGAAAGGCCUUCUUGCGAAUAGUGAGAAGGAUUGACGGUACCGGAAUAGAAAGCCACGGCUAACUACGUG